rnacentral:rRNA from 1 species
GACGAACGCUGUCGGCGCGCCUAACACAUGCAAGUCGAACGGAGUUGCUGAAGCUGAAUUUUUCGGAAGGACGCAUUAGUAACUUAGUGGCGGACGGGUGAGUAACGCGUGAGUAACCUGCCUUUCAGUGGGGGACAACAGCUGGAAACGGCUGCUAAUACCGCAUAUUGCAUACAGAUCGCAUGGUCUGUAAAUGAAAGAUUUAUCGCUGAAGGAUGGGCUCGCGUCUGAUUAGCUAGUUGGUGAGGUAAUGGCUCACCAAGGCGACGAUCAGUAGCCGGACUGAGAGGUUGAACGGCCACAUUGGGACUGGGAGACGGCCCAGACUCCUACGGGAGGCAGCAGUGGGGAAUAUUGGGCAAUGGGGGCAAGCCUGACCCAGUGACGCCGCGUGAAGGAAGAAGGCUUUCGGGUUGUAAACUUCUUUGACCAGGGAAGAAACAAAUGACGGUACCUGGAAAACAAGCCACGGCUAACUACGUGCCAGCCGCCGUAACAC